CUUGAUACUGACGGAAACACCACGAAUUGAGGCGCAACACCAAUACUGUAACAAUUAUAAGAAAAGAGCUCCAAACCCGCAAAGAAGUAGGAUUACAAAUAAAUAGCAGCAUGUGAACUAAAUACAAAACAAUCAAGAUUGAACUUGAUCUGCAGCAGCCGCAUCGUCUGAGGAAUCCGUGUUGGAACAGAACUGUAUUUGUGCAGGUAGUAUUGUAGUCGGUUUAUCGUUAUUUGUACCCAGUAAGACCUAAUGGACAAUAAAUUCUCUUAUAAGCAUGGGGAAAGUAGCGAAAUCCAAGUUUUAUUCUCUUACAUCUGCCUGUGUUUCCAGAUCUGGCAAACGUAUUUGAAGUGUUGUUGCCACAACUUCUGUUGUAUCCCAAUCCUUUUGACGCUUUAAACGGAGAGGCUGCAGCUUUAAUGAUGUUUUACCAAGCUGCUUAUGAACAAAGAGUUAAAGCUUGAAGGAGAUUGUGAAAAAUUGGACUGACUCCUCCAACAAAGCUAUCAACCGCCUCCUUGCCCAAGGUGGUACAAUAGUUCUAUCCGAUCAUGGUCGCUAUUUUUCAAAGGAUGCUGUGGAAUUUCAAGAUUGAAAACCGCUGGCUUUCAAUCUUUUAAAACAAAUUACCUUUGUAAGGUAUCAAAACUAUAAUUUUUCUAUAGCAAAUAAAAUUCUUUCCUUCACUAUGGUAAUUUUGUUUAGAUUAAUUAAUGUUACACUGAUACUAACUCAAAUUUAUACACUGCUAUAAGAUCAAUUUGUAAUCCCGCAGCAACGCGCGGGCAUUACUAGCUAGUA